rnacentral:rRNA from 1 species
AUGAACGCUGGCGGCGUGCUUAACACAUGCCAGUCGAACGAUGAAGCCCAGCUUGCUGGGUGGAUUAGUGGCGAACGGGUGAGUAACACGUGAGUAACCUGCCCUUAACUCUGGGAUAAGCCUGGGAAACUGGGUCUAAUACCGGAUAGGAGCGCCUACCGCAUGGUGGGUGUUGGAAAGAUUUAUCGGUUUUGGAUGGACUCGCGGCCUAUCAGCUUGUUGGUGAGGUAAUGGCUCACCAAGGCGACGACGGGUAGCCGGCCUGAGAGGGUGACCGGCCACACUGGGACUGAGACACGGCCCAGACUCCUACGGGAGGCAGCAGUGGGGAAUAUUGCACAAUGGGCGAAAGCCUGAUGCAGCGACGCCGCGUGAGGGAUGACGGCCUUCGGGUUGUAAACCUCUUUCAGUAGGGAAGAAGCGAAAGUGACGGUACCUGCAGAAGAAGCACCGGCUAACUACGUG